GUUAACGUAGCUUAACUAAAGCAUAACACUGAAGUUGUUAAAAUAAACCCUAGAAUGGUUUCGUAAACA
rnacentral:tRNA from 1 species